UACAGAGGUCUCAACCGUUGUUCGGAUUCAUUGGGCGUAAAGGGUUCGUAGGCGGUCGUGCAAGUCGGAUGUGAAAUCUCAGGGCUCAACCCUGAAACUGCAUUCGAUACUGCGUGGCUAGAGUGCUGGAGAGGAGACUGGAAUUUACGGUGUAGCAGUGAAAUGCGUAGAUAUCGUAAGGAAGACCAGUGGCGAAGGCGAGUCUCUGGACAGCAACUGACGCUGAGGCACGAAGGCCAGGGGAGCAAACGGG
rnacentral:rRNA from 1 species